GACGAACGCUGGCGGCGUGCUUAACACAUGCCAGUCGAACGGAAAGGCCCUGCUUUUGUGGGGUGCUCGAGUGGCGAACGGGUGAGUAACAUGUGAGUAACCUGCCCUUGACUUUGGGAUAACUUCAGGAAACUGGGGCUAAUACCGGAUAGGAGCUCCUGCUGCAUGGUGGGGGUUGGAAAGUUUCGGCGGUUGGGGAUGGACUCGCGGCUUAUCAGCUUGUUGGUGGGGUAGUGGCUUACCAAGGCUUUGACGGGUAGCCGGCCUGAGAGGGUGACCGGCCACAUUGGGACUGAGAUACGGCCCAGACUCCUACGGGAGGCAGCAGUGGGGAAUAUUGCACAAUGGGCGGAAGCCUGAUGCAGCAACGCCGCGUGCGGGAUGACGGCCUUCGGGUUGUAAACCGCUUUCGCCUGUGACGAAGCGUGAGUGACGGUAAUGGGUAAAGAAGCACCGGCUAACUACGU
rnacentral:rRNA from 1 species